rnacentral:rRNA from 1 species
GAUGAACGCUAGCGGCAGGCCUAAUACAUGCAAGUCGGACGGGAUCGGGGAGCUUGCUCCCCGUGAGAGUUGCGCACGGGUGCGUAACACGUAUGUAACCUACCUUUAUCAGGGGGAUAGCCUCUCGAAAGAGAGACUAACACCGCAUAACAUCACAUGAUAGCAUUAUCGAGUGAUCAAAUAUUCAUAGGAUAAAGAUGGGCAUGCGGGACAUUAGCUAGUUGGCGGGGUAACGGCCCACCAAGGCGACGAUGGCUAGGGGAUCUGAGUGGAUGACCCCCCGCACUGGUAAUGAGACACGGAACAGACUCCUACGGGAGGCAGCAGUAAGGAAUAUUGGUCAAUGGACGCAAGUCCGAACCAGCCAUGCCGCGUGCAGGAGGACGGCCCUACGUGUUGUAAACUGCUUUUGUACCGGAAUAAACCCUUUUACGUGUAAGAGGCUGAAUGUACGGUAAGAAUAAGGAUCGGCUAACUCCGUGCCAGCCGCCGCCGUAAGAC